AUGUGCGACUCCAUGGGUGUCCUCGUCAACGGCUGCCGGUCCCUAGAGCCGGGCGCCGCUGACGCCAUCGUGGCCGGCCUCUGCAAUCCGCCCGGCCGGCCGCCGCUGUACUGCGUGGGGCCGCUGAUUAAGCACGACGAGGAGACCUCAAAGCGCCAUGAGUGCCUCGCAUGGCUCGAUGGCCAGCCCGAGGCCAGCGUGGUGUUCCUCUGCUUCGGCAGCAUGGGCCGGUUCAGCGCGGAGCAGGUCAAGGAGAUAGCGUCGGGCCUGGAAACAAGUGGGCAGAGAGCCGACCGCCGGCCGACGGGGACGACGACGGCGACAUCAACGGAGCUGUUCCCGGAAGGCUUCCUGCAGCGUACCAAGGACAGGGGGCUGGUGGUCAUGUCCUGGGCGCCGCAGCGGCAGGUGCUGGCGCACGAAGCAGUGGGCGGCUUCGUGAAGCACUGCGGCUGGAACUCGGUGCUGGAAGCCGUCAUGGUAGGGGUGUCGAUGCUGGCGUGGCCACUCUACAUGGAGCAGCGCAUGAACUGGGUGUUCCUGGUGGAGGAGAUGCAGCUGGCUGUGCCCACGGAAGGGUACGACAAGAAGAUGGUGGAGUCCGACGAGGUGGCGGCCAAGGUGCGGUGGCUGAUCGAGUCCGACGGCGGGAGGGAGCUUCGACAGCGGACGCGGGCGGCCAUGCGGCUGGCAGAGGAGGCGCUGGGCGACGGCGGCAAGUCGAGGGCCGCACUGGUGGAUCUCGCGAGACAGUGGAAGAGCGCCGCCCACAGCUAA
rnacentral:rRNA from 1 species